rnacentral:rRNA from 1 species
GACGUAGGGCGCGAGCGUUGUCCGGAUUUAUUGGGCGUAAAGAGCUCGUAGGCGGCUUGUCGCGUCGUCCGUGAAAACCUGCGGCUCAACUGCAGGCUGGCGGUCGAUACGGGCAGACUAGAGUGCGGUAGGGGAGACUGGAAUUCCUGGUGUAGCGGUGAAAUGCGCAGAUAUCAGGAGGAACACCGGUGGCGAAGGCGGGUCUCUGGGCCGUAACUGACGCUGAGGAGCGAAAGCGUGGGGAGCGAACAGG